rnacentral:tmRNA from 1 species
GGGGGUGAAAAGGACUCGACUCAGGGCAAGAGGUGCAAGGUUGCAUGCAGGUGGGCAGGCCGGCCUUUAACAGGCUUGCAACCAAAUAAGCGCCAUAACUCCGUAUGCCGCUUAUGCCGGUUUUGCCGGCAUGACUCCCAUCUUAAACUAAAGAUGGGGCCCUUAAUAGGAAUGCCUCUCUCCUGUUAAGGGUUCGGUUUUGAGGCUAACCUCAAGGUCCUUUCUCCUGGGAUCUGAGGGACAUUUUACAGGAGAUGCGCCUUAAAGAGCCUGCCCUUUCGGCGCUUUAAGGCAAAGACAAAAGAAAAGGCUAAGCAUGUAGGAGCCUGUGCUGAAUCCCUGAGGACGCGGGUUCGAUUCCCGCCACCUCCACCA